rnacentral:rRNA from 1 species
CGUGUAGGUGGUUUUGUAAGUAGGGCGUGAAAGCUCCUGGCUCAACUGGGAGAGGCCGUUCUAAACUGCAGAACUAGAGGAUGGUAGAGGGAGGUGGAAUUCCAGGUGUAGCGGUGGAAUGCGCAGAUAUCUGGAGGAACACCAGUGGCGAAAGCGGCCUCCUGGACCAUUCCUGACACUCAGACGCGAAAGCUAGGGUAGCAAACG